AGAGUGCCACAGCUUCCACUUCCCAAGCUGACGUGGGCAGCAGCACUCCUGGGUAUUGGCUGCUGGCCCUGGGAGCCCUUGGGGCUGCAGCUGAGCUCAGACCCUGCCUUUCCAGGUUUCUCAUUGUCCUCACUGGGAAAGAGACAGACUGACUCAGGCCCUGGGGCUGGCCAGAUUUCUUUUGUGAAAUGUCUCUCUUGAAGCUGGCACAGUGUGUUUUCUCUGUCAGCCUGACAGUUGGAUAACAUCUUGCUGAGGUUGUGAACAUAUGGACUGUCCUCCAGCUGUGAUACACACACGAAGCAAUUCUCUUUGCAGUGAUCAUCUCUGAGAGCACAGACACUGCAGAUGCAGACAGCUACAACAGUUGACCAUCACUUGCAGAACAAACCCAAGGAAAAAAGAACUUUCUGGAUACUGUGCUGCUGAAAACCUACCACUAAGAACCCCCAAAAUACCCAACUUAACAAAGAUAACAAACAAACAAACAAACAAUGCCAGCUCUGUGAGAUUUCUGCAGUGAAGAAAGACUGGGGGUUACUGUGUUUUUGUAAAAUAAUCAAGAUCAUUAUAGUUAAUAUUGCCUUCUAACAGGAACAGCAACAACUGGAAAACACCAGACAUUGACAAACAGCUCAUAUGUAAAGAACCAAAGGAUAUUCAUAUUACAGACUUUUUUGUUUCUGUGGUACUGGGUAAUUUUAUUUUCAUUUUGAGUUUUUAGCUCAUUCACUGUCAAAAUUGGCACAUUUUCAUUAGAAGAAAUCAAGACACUUUGAGGCAAAGUGUAUGUUAAAAAGACCACCUUAAUAGUUCACAGUUGAAAUUUUACUUGGAGCAUAAGGGUUGCUUCCAAACGUGAAAUUAUUAAUGUGAGCUAUUCAAAAUAAAAGCAAACUCUGAAAAAAAAUAUUUUAUGUUGGAAUUGUGGAUUUUUAGACUUGAGUCUUUACUUUGAAAUGGUUUUCUUCUAAUCUAUAUUCAAACUCACUACAUGACUGUC